UUAUCAAGAAUUUAAUUGCCGAACAAAUAAACUUGAUUCAACACAAGAUGUAUUUCGUAGUUUUUUGGGAUAAAACGUCUGCAAUCGUACCUGCAUCAUGGGUAGAUUCAGAAUCUCGAACUUUCAAGUGGCCGAAAACAAAAAAUCCUACCUUACUAAUUAUUCGAGCUGAUAACCCUAAAGAUAAUUGGAUCACUUAUAAUUAUGUUCAACUCUGCGGUCCAUUUGGCAUAUGACGAAGCGCGUGAAUUCGAAUUAGAUGCCCUAAAUCUGUCUACAAAUGAUGAUGAAGGUUUUGCUGCUAUUAAAACAAAUAAAAAAUUAGAAAUGGUAGAUAAAGGAAAAAGAAACUGCAAUAAACAUUUACGCUCUUGUGAUACAGAAG